rnacentral:rRNA from 1 species
AGUGACGUACGGGUGCGUAACACGUAUGCAACCUACCCUUUACAGGCGGAUAGCUCGGGGAAACUCGAAUUAACCCGCCAUAAUAUCAUUGGAUGGCAUCAUUUGAUGAUUAAAACUCAGGUGGUAAAGGAUGGGCAUGCGUCUGAUUAGUUAGUUGGUGAGGUAACGGCUCACCAAGACGAUGAUCAGUAGGGGAACUGAGAGGUUGAUCCCCCACACUGGCACUGAGAUACGGGCCAGACUCCUACGGGAGGCAGCAGUAGGGAAUAUUGGUCAAUGGAUGCAAGUCUGAACCAGCCAUGCCGCGUGCAGGAAGAAGGCCUUCUGGGUUGUAAACUGCUUUUGCCAGGGGAUAAAAAUCUCAUGCGUGAGAAAUUGAAGGUACCUGGUGAAUAAGCCACGGCUAACUACGUGCCAGCAGCCGCGGUAAUACGUAGGUGGCAAGCGUUGUCCGGAUUUAUUGGGUUUAAAGGGUGCGUAGGCGGCCUUGUAAGUCAGUGGUGAAAUACUCCAGCUUAACUGGAGGGGUGCCAUUGAUACUGCAGGGCUUGAGUACAGAUGAGGUAGGCGGAAUUGACGGUGUAGCGGUGAAAUGCAUAGAUAUCGUCAAGAACUCCGAUAGCGAAGGCAGCUUACUAAGCUGUAACUGACGCUGAGGCACGAAAGUGUGGGGAUCAAACAGGAUUAGAUACCCUGGUAGUCCACACUGU